rnacentral:pre_miRNA from 1 species
UUUUGGGGAACAUUCAACGCUGUCGGUGAGUUUGAUGGUUCUAAAAACCAUCGACCGUUGACUGUGCCCUGCGA